CAUCGUCAGUCACUUUCCUAACUUCGUAGCCAGUAAGCAGCAGAGCUGAAAUGCUUUAAAAUCAGAAAAUGCCCUUUGGUGUAAUACAGCUUCUCAGUCCCACCAUGCUGGGGCCUAAAACCUGUGACCCUAAUGAACACACAGACGUACGCAGCCAGCUUCCUCUGUGAUACACACCAAUCUCUUGCCUGCAGUGAGCAAACAUACAGGGGAGAUGUUACGGAUACAAAAGCCUGAUAGGAUUUUUAAGUAUGUGCUACUUGAGCAAAGCAUCCCUGAAAGCCUGUGCAAAUUGUGUUGCUAAUGCCCCUUUCAUAUUUGGAUGCGUGGAUGAUGAAUCUCCUACUAAUUCGACUGAUUUUUGCUCUGGGAGCACUGAUGGCAAGCCAACCGCCCGUCACCUCUUUCUGCUUCUUGUCAGCCAGCGCUGCUGAGAGCCAGGCAGUGCAUGGGCCCCAACGGGCCCCGAAACAAGAGCAGAGGGACAGAGGAAACCACUGCACAACCACAGCACUCUCUCCUUCACUGACCGCUGUGAGAGGAGCAGCUGCCCCAGGCGAAGAGCCGGGCACCUUCUGCCCCACUGCGCUUCCUUCGCGUUUGGUGAGGAAGCGACGUGGGUGGGAGGAGAGAAAGGAGGGUGAACCCGAAGCCGCAGAAGCAAGCAACUCGGGGCAGAGACCAACCUGUAGGUAUUUGGUGCACACAGCUGACACCGAUGGCAGCCGGCCCCUGCUCACUAGAAAAAUAGAAGGCAGGAAAUCCUGUGACAGUCUUGUUUCGGUGAUGAUGUGAGAGACGCAGCAGCAGGAGACAACAAAACAAAAACCCUCUAAACCCCUGGAGCACACGUGGGCAACCUCCAGAGGGGAGCCUGGCACUUCCCAGCCCCUCGCUGCUCCUCCCGGGGCUACCAAAAUGCCUCUGGCAGCGGGUGCAGAGAGGGCAGGGAGCAGUCCAGGAGUCAGGGCUGGGUUAAUCAGAAAGGCUCGUGGAUGGCUGUGCCAGGAGCUCUGAGAUUGCUUCAGGAGGAAAGGUGCUGUGGUGUUUCCUCCUGCCAGACAAAGUUGUGAAGCUGCAGCUGACUUGUCAAGAACUGGUCCCUCACCUGCACCAGCUGAUGCCAAACCGGACCCUCUGAGGUGCUGCUGGCGGCCACUCGGGUCCCUGUCCCUCAGCUACAGCCACAAAUGGUCCCUGCUGAUGGACACGCAGGUUCCUUCCCUUCCAGCCAGCACCAUGAGGCUGGGAUCUGCAGGAGGAAUCAUUACUGCCACCCCACAUCUUUGCUGCGCAGGAGCUGGUUUGAAGGAGGGCAGCGGGGCCAAAAGGAACCGGCCCAGCACUCAGAUAUUUGCAUUUUCCACUGUUCAGACAUGGAUAAGCCAAAAGGGAGCAGCACAAGACUUCUCCCUCUCCUCAGCCCAUCCCCAGCAUCACGAGCGGGAGAGGCAGGGGGAGAGAGGGGCAGAUCGGUAACGUGGCCAGGACAAAGGGGCAGCUGCAGUGUCUGCUCGGAGCAAAAAGCCUAGGGAAAUUUUUAGAAGGUUUCAGCAGAGAAAACCCUGGGGACACUCUGAAGAGAUUGUUUAGGCUCAAGCAUAGGCUUUUCUGUUUUAAAUUAGACUCCAGAAAGGGAGUUAUUUUGGAAUACACACUGCAUAUCUUCUGCUGGAUGCAUCAUGGGCACACCACCUGUUUACCAUGCCUGCUCUGGGGUGAUUUAUACACAAAGGAUCUUGGCAAAGAACUGUCUUCGCUUCACUUUUGUAAAACCAAAAACCAACCUGGCCUGACUAUCACAGAGAUGGGACAAAGCCAAAAGCUUUCAGCUGAGUGUCUGUUCCCUUCCAAGGCUUGGUGGUCUGGAUACAAAGAAACCGAGAUUCAAUUAAUCCUCGUGUUGGUUUUGCAAAAACAUUUCUGCUGGAUUUUGGUUCUGAAAAAAACAACUCCAAACUCUGGUGUCCUUGGGAAAGAAAUGAAAGACUGCUGAAAAUAGUGCAGUUGGAAGGCUUCUUUCCUUCACAAAGCCUUCCGCAGCGUCCUGCAAGCCUGUAACCCUAACAGGCGUAUCACCACUGAGUGAAACCGAGUCUCGGCUGCUGAAAGGGUAUGAGUCUGCAUGCUGUCAGAUGCUCUCAUGCAAAGUGUUGUCAUACUUUGGUCAGGAAUCUUUGCAAUGCAGUAAGAAACUAGAAGGAAGAGGGGAACUGCCUGUGUCAGUGCAUUUCCAGUCCUCCCCUGCAUACAAGCAGGGAGAGGUCAGCUUGAGGGGCUGGGCGGGUGCUUGGUGCUGGAAAUGCAGCCCUGUGCCUACCAUCCAUCCACUGAACACCCCUUUUGGCCAAGACACGGUGUCAGCAAUGAGAUGUGCAACUCCUUAGUGAUCUUUUUGGAGCAGCAGAAAUGACUGCGAGCUUUUCACCCCUGGAAAUGUGUAGCUGAAGUAGAUAUACACAAGAAAACAGCGCUGCAGUAGUGAGGGCCAGGCAGCACCCAGGGUGCAGCGACCACAGGCAUCGUGCCCGCAGUCCUGGAGCUCGAGCUUCAGCAAUCAACCUGGUAGCUUCGUUCCAGUCCCCAGAGGGGACUUCUCUCCUAAAACCAUCUAGCUAUCCUGCUCUUCACCCUGCAGAGACAGAGCCAGCAAAGUGGUGAAUGCUGCAGGUAGGGUGGAGGCAGACUGGCAGAGCAAUGAGGCUCCCACAGUCGCAAAUGCAGUCGAGCCUAAAACAGCGAUGAUUUUGCAAGUCCAGAACGGCAGAAGAUUUUGAAAUUUAAGUGCAUUAGCACUGUUAUACAAGGACUUAACAGAUGCCAGCGCACUGACUAACCUAAUAAGCACAGCCUAUCCCUGCUGCCAUUACUGCUGCCUCACUGGAAGGGCAGUUUUGGCCAGGACGACGUGUGCUCUGAGUCACACGAUGGGGAGGAGGCGGUGACGCUGCUCAGGAAUCCACCUUGCUGCGUGUGGCUGGAGGAUGAUACCUGAUGUCCACGUGUGGCAGGACGGAGGGGACACAGACAGCUUAGCCCCCGGCAUUCCUCGGGACCAGUGCUCACCUGGCGAAGCGUGCAGAGCUAAAAACCACCCGCACACCUCGCUGUUUGCUACACAAGGCACUCAGCAGCUGACACCAUGCGCAGAGCACUUCUUGCCUGUGUAUCUUCUUGCAGUGAGACCGACAGAGAUAACCACCUCCUCAAACUGACGCUCAGUUUCAUUCUCUGUUAUCAAACCACCUGAUCAAAGGCCACUUACCCACACUGCAGACGUCUCAGCCCAUGGCCAGACAUGCCACAUACCAAAGCCUCUGGAGAACAAGGCAUCAAAACUACACUUAUCCAUUAACAGUGCAGGGGUGACAGCCUCUAUUUACUUUGCAAAUUCUGAAAGACUUAAAUCUCAUAAGGUGAUUAUGCCAUUAAUUAGUGAAAUGCAGUCAUCUCUGGGGUGUAGCACAGCAGCUGCUUCGGCUGAGCAGCAAAGAAAAAAACAAGCAGGCAGCGUAACAUGGUGGUAGUGCCCCAAAGAGAAGUCAGCCCCUCUCCCAGAAGGUAUCCCUCUUUCCUUGGCAGUGUGUGAAUGUUGACUCCAGUGUCUGGGGGCAUCUGAUGAAGCCUGAGCCCUGCAUUUUGCAGGAUAUGAGUUUUCCUGAGAAGCUAUACAUGCAGGGAUUAUAAACCCAGAAGGGGUCUCUGGUCAGUCAUCCCUCUGACCUCCUGAAAAACAGACCACAGAGCCUACCUGAAUGAUUUCCCCUUCAGACUGUGGCAUUUUUUAGGAAAAACACACAGGCAAGAGCACCGUAUGACAAAUGCAGGUCUGAAGAAGGCACGUUUGUACCACGGCGAAUUUACAGACUGAAGCUGCAUGGGAGGAAGGAGGCUGCUCCCCGAGGAAGCCCAUCUCCUCCGGCUGAGGCCUUCAGCCUGCGAACGGUCCCUGGUCCUUCAGGGGCAGAGUCAGUGCUGGCGCUGCUCCAGCCAGGUGCUGGCUGCUGCUCAUCACCCUUCAGCGAGCACGGGGCUGGGGCAGGCACCGGGGAUCUGGUGUUCCCAGAGGAGGAUGCUCAGAGGCGAGGGCGUUCAUGCGAGGCGCACAUUAGCCCAGCACGGCCCGCCUCAGGUCCCCUACAGUCAGCAGAGGGGGAGGAAAAUCUCCGGAGUAUCAAUUAGGGCAGCAGAUCUAGCCUGGAGGAGGCUACGUCCUCUGAGAGGGACGGGAGAGAAGUUUUGCUAAACUAAAGACAUUUUGCUGACCUUUUUUGAUACCUCCUGUUUUGCAAUGCCACCUCAACAACACUGCGGUCCUUCUGGCCUAACCCGACAGAAAUAUUCCUGAUGUGACAGAAAUAUUCCUGAUGUGGGAGCGCUCAGUGAGGGCUCUCGAGCUGCUCCAGCGAUGCCAUACACCAUCUCCCCACUGUCCUGCUCACAGGAAACCUGCCUGGGGAUCUCAGCGUAUCUUCAGAGCAUGUUACAUGGCAGCAACGGCAAAUGGCUCCUGUGCUAUCUGCAAGCAGAGGAGAGAGCAGCCCUGGGACUGUCUUAUUUUGCUGGAACACACCGAUUCUGGUCAAGAAAGAAGACAAAGUUUGUUUCAAGUCCCUUCUGUCUUCCACCUCAGGGAGAAGGAAGCAUGCCUAUCAUUUACAGGAGCAGGAAAUGUCUGUGAGUCACUGCUGGGAGAAUUACCAGGGCUCCACAGAACUCUCCUCACUUGAAAGGAGUUGGCCACUACAUUCCUGAAAGUAGUGUUAAAAAAAAAAAAAAUGAUAGAGGGAAAAUAAAAAAAAUUGUUACUAAAAUAUGGGGGUCAAUCUGGGAAUUCGCUCCCAAAAGCUCAUAAUAAAAAACCUCCAGCAAAGAA